GAUGAACGCUGGCGGCGUGCCUAAUACAUGCAAGUCGAGCGAACGGACGAGAAGCUUGCUUCUCUGAUGUUAGCGGCGGACGGGUGAGUAACACGUGGAUAACCUACCUAUAAGACUGGUAUAACUUCGGGAAACCGUAGCUAAUACCGGAUAAUAUUUUGAACCGCAUGGUUCAAAAGUGAAAGACGGUCUUUCUGUCACUUAUAGCUGGAUCCGCGCUGCAUUAGCUAGUUGGUAAGGUAACGGCUUACCAAGGCAACGAUGCAUAGCCGACCUGAGAGGGUGAUCGGCGACACUGGAACGGAGACACGGUCCAGACUCCUACGGGAGGCAGCAGUAGGGAAUCUUACGCAAUGGGCGAAAGCCUGACGGAGCAACGCCGCGUGAGUGAUGAAGGUCUUCGGAUCGUAAAACUCUGUUAUUAGGGAAGAACAGAUGUGGAAGUAACUGUGCAGAUCUUGACGGUACCUAAUCAGAAAGCAACGGCUAACUACGUG
rnacentral:rRNA from 1 species